AGAGUUUGAUCCUGGCUCAGAUUGAACGCUGGCGGCAGGCCUAACACAUGCAAGUCGAACGGUAACAGGCGAGUGCUUGCACUUGCGCUGACGAGUGGCGGACGGGUGAGUAACGCGUAGGAAUCUACCUGGUAGUGGGGGAUAGCCCGGGGAAACUCGGAUUAAUACCGCAUACGCCCUACGGGGGAAAGCAGGGGCUCUUCGGACCUUGCGCUAUUGGAUGAGCCUGCGUUAGAUUAGCUAGUUGGUGGGGUAAAGGCCUACCAAGGCGACGAUCUAUAGCUGGUCUGAGAGGAUGAUCAGCCACACUGGGACUGAGACACGGCCCAGACUCCUACGGGAGGCAGCAGUGGGGAAUAUUGCGCAAUGGGCGAAAGCCUGACGCAGCCAUGCCGCGUGUGUGAAGAAGGCUCUAGGGUCGUAAAGCACUUUAAGUGGGGAGGAAGGCUACUUAGUUAAUACCUGAGUAGAUUGACGUUACCCACAGAAUAAGCACCGGCUAACUCCGUGCCAGCAGCCGCGGUAAUACGGAGGGUGCGAGCGUUAAUCGGAAUUACUGGGCGUAAAGCGCGCGUAGGCGGUUUUGUAAGCUGGGUGUGAAAGCCCCGGGCUCAACCUGGGAACUGCAUUCAGAACUGCAAGGCUAGAGUACAGUAGAGGGUGGUAGAAUUUCCUGUGUAGCGGUGAAAUGCGUAGAUAUAGGAAGGAAUACCAGUGGCGAAGGCGGCCACCUGGACUGAUACUGACGCUGAGGUGCGAAAGCGUGGGUAGCGAACAGGAUUAGAUACCCUGGUAGUCCACGCUGUAAACGAUGUCAACUAGCCGUAGGGAUCCUUGAGAUUUUUGUGGCGCAGCUAACGCACUAAGUUGACCGCCUGGGGAGUACGGCCGCAAGGUUAAAACUCAAAUGAAUUGACGGGGGCCCGCACAAGCGGUGGAGCAUGUGGUUUAAUUCGAUGCAACGCGAAGAACCUUACCUGGUCUUGACAUCCUCGGAAGC
rnacentral:rRNA from 1 species